GCAGCACGGUGGUGCAGUGGUUUGCACUGUUGCCUCAGCAAGAAGGUUGUGGGUUUGAAUCCGGCCUGUGGCC